rnacentral:tRNA from 1 species
GGCCACGUGGCGGAAUGGUUACGCAGAGGAUUGCAAAUCCUUUUAUCCCAGUUUCGAUUCUGGGGCGUGGCCGCCA